GAGGAAAGUCCGGACACCAUAGAACCGCGGGACCGGGUAAUUCCCGGAGUUCGGGAUCGUAAGAAACCGGAUAUGGAAAGUGCAGCAGAAAAUAUACCGCUAGUUUUCUAGUAAGGGUGAAAUGGCGGGGUAAGAGCCCACCGCCGCUUUUGUAAAAAGGCGGGCAAUGUAAACCCUCCCGGGUGCAAUCUCGAAUAGGCGGCCAUCGUUGGUUCUGCAGGGCCGCGGGUAGAGAGCAAAGAGUCUUUUCGGUAACUGAAAGACCAAGAUAAAUGAUCAUCACUCGCAAGAGUACAAAAUCCGGCUUA
rnacentral:RNase_P_RNA from 1 species